CUCAGUAACACGUGGAUAAUCUGCCCUUAGGUGGAGGAUAAUCUCGGGAAACUGAGGAUAAUAUUCCAUAGAUCUAGGAUGCUGGAAUGCAUCUAGAUUGAAAGCUCCGGCGCCUAAGGAUGAGUCUGCGGACUAUCAGGUUGUAGUCAGGGUAAAGACCUGACUAGCCUACGACGGAUACGGGUUGUGAGAGCAAUAACCCGGAGACGAUAUCUGAGACACGAUAUCGGGCCCUACGGGGCGCAGCAGGCGCGAAAACUUCACACUGUGCGAAAGCGCGAUGAGGGAAUCCCAAGUGUUUGCUCGUAAGAGUAAACUGUUUCUUUGUUUAAAACGCAGAGAGAGUAAGGGCUGGGUAAGACGGGUGCCAGCCGCCGCGGUAAUACCUGCAGCUCAAGUGGUGAUCAUUAUUAUUGGGCCUAAAACGUCCGUAGCCGGUUUAGUAAAUGCCUGGGUAAAUCGUGUAGCUUAACUAUACGACUUCCGGGUAGACUACUAAACUUGAGACCGGGAGAGGCUAGAGGUACUCCUGGGGUAGAGGUGAAAUUCUGUAAUCCUAGGGGGACCACCAGUGGCGAAGGCGUCUAGCUAGAACGGGUCUGACGGUGAGGGACGAAGCCCUGGGGCACAAACCGGAUUAGAUACCCGGGUAGUCCAGGGUGUAAACGCUGCUUGCUUGAUGUUAGUUGGGCUCCGAGCCCAACUAGUGUCGGAGAGAAGUUGUUAAGCAAGCUGCCUGGGAAGUACGGUCGCAAGGCUGAAACUAAAG
rnacentral:rRNA from 1 species